rnacentral:rRNA from 1 species
ACUCAAAUGAAUUGACGGGGGCCCGCACAAGCGGUGGAGCAUGUGGAUUAAUACGUCACUAACCGUAGAACCUUACCCAGGCUUGACAUCUCGGGAACCCUUCUGAAAGGAAGGGGUGCCUCGCAAGAGGAGCCCGAAGACAGGUGUUGCAUGGCUGUCGUCAGCUCGUGUCGUGAGAUGUUGGGUUAAGUCCCGCAACGAGCGCAACCCUCACCGGAUGUUGCCAGCGUCAAGUCGGGCACUCUUCCGGAACUGCCCGGGUAACCGGGAGGAAGGUGGGGAUGACGUCAAGUCAGCAUGGCCCUUACGCCUGGGGCUUCACACAUGCUACAAUGGCUGGUACAGAGGGCACCGAGACCGCGAGGUGGAGGCAAUCCCAAAAAGCCAGUCUCAGUUCGGAUCGCAGGCUGCAACUCGCCUGCGUGAAGUUGGAAUCGCUAGUAACGGCCGGUCAGCUAAACGGCCGUGAAUACGUUCCCGGGCCUUGUACACACCGCCCGU